rnacentral:tRNA from 1 species
GCGGAUGUGGCGUAAUUGGUAGCCGCGCUAGACUUAGGAUCUAGUGCCGUUAGGCGUGGGGGUUCGAGUCCCUCCAUCCGCA